rnacentral:lncRNA from 1 species
UUGUAGCCAAGACUACUUAGAUUGCCAAAAGUCCAAAACUUUCAAAACACAAACCAUGUAAUUCAAAGCCUAGACCAAAACUGAAACUUGGUUGUUGAGCCUUGAUCCAAACUUCUGUUGAUUUCUAAGGGGAAAAAAGAACCAAUAUAGUUACUAUCAUUGUGGUUACAUAAGUAGUACUCUUUAACCAUCUUAAAUUGUUGAUGAGUCAAGAACUUUUUUUGUGCGUGUAUGUUUGUGCGCACAUGCAUGUAUGUGACAGUGCGCAUGCGCACGCACAGAGAGAGAGAGAGAGAG